ACCGUGGGCCUUCGGGCCCGCGUAUAUUUACUCUGAAUGUGUAUAGAAUGUAAACCAUUUGUUUGCCCUGAAAAAGCAAACGAAAAAAAAUACAACUUUCAACAACGGAUCUCUUGGCUCUCGCAUCGAUGAAGAACGCAGCGAAAUGCGAUAAGUAAUGUGAAUUGCAGAUUUUCAGUGAAUCAUCGAAUCUUUGAACGCACCUUGCGCCCCUUGGUAUUCCGAGGGGCAUGCCUGUUUGAGUGUCAUUAAAUCCUCAACCGCGCCGAUUGAUUUCGGUGGGGCUUGGACUUUGGAGCGUGCUGGCGAAGGUCGGCUCCUCUUUAAAUGCAUCAGCGGAAGAAACCUUUGUCUUUCCUGC
rnacentral:misc_RNA from 1 species